GGCCAAUCGAUAGCUACUCCACGUAUUCCUCCCUGCGCACAAUCAACGCACGGUCAAAUGUACACGGCCGGAACCAACGGGGGCGGCGGCGUCGCAUACACUCCGACAGUUAAGUUAGCUCAUGGUGAUCCGAACAGUGCCAAGGUUGUGGAAAAAGGGCGGGGAGGAGAAUAUAUAUUUGCUUGUUAUGCAGAGCUAAGUUGUAAGAAUUUCAUUACCUUUGCCUCUUGUCAAACCUUGGGUAUUUAUAGUUGAGGAGAACCGUUGGAUGUGGGACAUGUGUAUGUAUCUGACAGUGUGAGGCAUCUGCUCAUAGGCAUCAAUCAGCUGCGUCUAUAGAGUUUGGGGGUAAUUACUUCUCCCGAAUUGAGUUGACAUAAAGUUGAUACGUCACAUCAACUAGGCUCAUGGAGAUGUCAAAUGAAUUAAACCUUGGGGACAGAAAGGAUCUUGACACAGAUCUCUUUCUAGAAUUAGCGGCGUAUCCUCUGAAGAGAACCUUGGAAUGUACUUCACCUCGGCUUCAGGGACAAGGACGCUUCGGUUGGUUCAGUAGAUUGUCUGUGCCUCGCAGUGCGUUAGCAGAUUGACAACAUUGGUGGUGGCGUCACUUCGAAACCACUUCGGAUGGGUAUUGAACACCUCGUAUAAUGCGGUGGUAGACUUUUCGAAGUGGUUCAGAUAGGGGCGUAACA
rnacentral:lncRNA from 1 species